rnacentral:tRNA from 1 species
GGGGAGGUGGCCGAGCGGUCCAAGGCGCCACGUUAAGGCCGUGGUCUCGUAAGAGGCGUGGGUUCGAAUCCCACUCUCCUCA